rnacentral:lncRNA from 1 species
CGACUCCUGGCCAAAUCGGAUUCUAGGAGAAAAGUAUUUAUCCCAUGCCUAGAGUGACAAACGGCAUUAUGAGGCAGGUUUAGACAGACUGUCAAACUUUUAUGUUUACUUUAAAAAAAAACACGGAUGGAAGUCUGGUCUGUGGCAGCCUUGUGUGCAAGGAGAGUCUCACCUGUACACACCACAUGAGGGUCUUCCCCGGGCUGUCCGAGCUCCGGGAGGGAGGGGAUGGAUGGACCUGGCUAGACCUUUGUCCUGGGGGCCUGGGGAGGGACGAGUUUCUGGCAGCCGCGCGGCCACCUGCGCUCCGGGAAGUCACACACCGUGUGACCCUCGGGGGUCGCCCUGGGGCGAGCCUGGUGAUGGGGGUUGGUAGGGGGGACAGGGCGGUUCCACCUCAGGGGUGAGUGUCCCCACACUCUGCGUCCGGGAUGGGGGGAAUAGCUCUGCGGAUUCAGAGUGGGAACCCCGACUAGAUCAGCUCUGGGGCAGGAGGCCCGGAGGAAGCGGAGCCGCCUGCGCUCGGCCCCGCCGCGUCCGCACCGCCACCGUGAGGCCGAGCCGGGGACGGUGCCCCGUGGAGGUGGCGCCGCCGCUUCGCGCUCCGUCUCCCCGCCGCCGCGGCCG